AACGAACGCUGGCGGCAGGCUUAACACAUGCAAGUCGAGCGCCCCGCAAGGGGAGCGGCAGACGGGUGAGUAACGCGUGGGAAUCUACCGUGCCCUACGGAAUAACGCAUGGAAACGUGUGCUAAUACCGUAUACGCCCUACGGGGGAAAGAUUUAUCGGGGUAUGAUGAGCCCGCGUUGGAUUAGCUAGUUGGUGGGGUAAAGGCCUACCAAGGCGACGAUCCAUAGCUGGUCUGAGAGGAUGAUCAGCCACAUUGGGACUGAGACACGGCCCAAACUCCUACGGGAGGCAGCAGUGGGGAAUAUUGGACAAUGGGCGCAAGCCUGAUCCAGCCAUGCCGCGUGAGUGAUGAAGGUCUUAGGAUUGUAAAGCUCUUUCACCGGUGAAGAUAAUGACGGUAACCGGAGAAGAAGCCCCGGCUAACUUCGUGCCAGCAGCCGCGGUAACAC
rnacentral:rRNA from 1 species